rnacentral:rRNA from 1 species
UGCCAGCCGCCGCGGUAAUACGGAGGGUCCAAGCGUUGUUCGGAAUCAUUGGGCGUAAAGCGGGUGUAGGCGGCUUGGCAAGUCGGGUGUGAAAUCCCUGGGCUCAACCCAGGAACUGCAUCCGAAACUGCUUCGCUAGAGUCCCGGAGAGGAUGGCGGAAUUCCCGGUGUAGAGGUGAAAUUCGUAGAGAUCGGGAGGAACACCAGUGGCGAAGGCGGCCAUCUGGACGGUGACUGACGCUCAGACCCGAAAGCGUGGGUAGCAAACAGGAUUAGAUA